rnacentral:lncRNA from 1 species
CGGAGAGGAAGAUGGAGAAGAACAUGGAAGGGAGAUCACAGGGAGUCCAGAAAUCCCUGUCAUUCCAAGCGUGGGCUGUGUUUCCACAACUCUCCACAGGGCCUUCAUCAAGCAGAGCUCUUUGGAGAGCCUAAUGUUGGGUUGGUGGUCUCUGCCCAGAAAUGUUAUGGGCAGUAGAUGGCCUUAACCCCCCUUUCUAAGAACUUCCAGGAAGAGUCUAAGGGUACGGCUUUUCUUGUGAACCCGAUUCCUUUUCCUUUCUUCUUUCAGAACUAAGGUCCCUCCCAGUUUGGCCACCAAACAGUGCCAAGCCCUCUGGUCUCCAGAGGAGAGAUUACUGUAUUACAUAGAAGGAUCAAGGGUAAUCAGGCCAAUUGGGGCGGUAGUGUUGGUUUUUUAAAAUCUAUAUUUAUACCCAGUCUUGUUUCUUUAAGCCCAUACUCUGUCUCUUCCUCCCUGUCCCUCUCAGGUGACGGUAUCAGUGAGUGCCAUACAGAAUUCUGUAUUCACCAGCAUCAUGAAACAGUUUUGGUCUUUUGAGUUGAUCUUGGCAGAGUAAAGGGACAUGUCCUGGAGUCAUUCCUGAAUACCCCUCCCCUUUGUGACAGUUCUCUCCCCACUUCACCCUCUCAAAAAAAACAAAAACAAAAAACAAAACCUAAGGCACUUCAUUUAGAGACUGGAGUCCUGCUUAUAAUCAUGCUUAUAACCUUUACUUUGAUGGAUCUGGCCAGAGGGGUGUUGGAGCCCAGCCCACCCACAUACCAGACAAGCUCUUAGGGGAGCAGAAGAAAAGCAGGAAGAAUUUCAAUGUUUAAUUUUUUUUAAAUUGACUUUUCUAGUUAUUAAAAGUUGCUUGUCUCAGCAGUGAUAUUGUAUAAAGAACAUCUUGUAAAAUAUUUCUGUCAUCUUGCUUUGGCACAUGUACAGUACAAUUUAUAUGAUAAUGUGUUUGCUUUACUUUACCCCAUCUCCUCCCUCAGCCCGUCCUCUCUCCUUCAGAGAAGUUGGGCUGGAGGCUCAGCAGGGCAAGCAGUGGCGCCUGGUGGUGACGGGGGCGUCCCUCUGCCUGCUGUGGUGGCUGUUUCCGCCUCCUUCCGCGCCUGUUCUGGCCGCAGACUUGGAAUUCCCUGAGAACCUGAAUCUUUGAGUGGCCCGUGUCAGUGGGGGAUGGGAGGAGGGUAGGGAGGGGCUCAGACAGCCCCCUCCCACAGUGAGUCUAGCGCUAGUGGUUAGAUUUAGGCAAAACUUUGUAGUCUUCUUUCCCUUUUAUGGCAGAUUUUGAUAAAAAUGCAAAACAGGGUUUAAUUUUCUUUUCUAUCAACUUUUAAUUUGGAAGAUUUGAGCACCUAAGCUCUUCUGUAUCUAUUUGAAUUAAGGGAAAAAAAGUCCACCAAGGGGAUUGCAUCUCAUAGGACCUGAGAAUAAAGCCUCGUUAUAUUAAACUUCAAGGUGUGGUCCCUGUCUCUCCCCUGUCCUCCUCGCCCAGGGACUUUGGGGAUUUGUUCCAGUGGCUGCUGGAUAGGUUUACCGUCCCUUCUCCCACAGGCUUGGAGUUAGCACUGACAUUACAACUUCGUAAUCCCAGCCACCAACACCUUCCCGUUUCUACCCUAGAGCCAGUCUGUUCUUGUUAACAGUGCGAAACCCGUGUUCCCACUUCAGUGACACCUGAAUUGUUUGUUGUUUUUUUAAUGGUCUUUAAGGAGGAAGGACCCCAUUAAAGGGUAAACUUGUAAUAAAUUGGAAUUUCAAAUAAACAUUAUGUACUUGUGUUUAUAAAGAAAAAACAA